rnacentral:rRNA from 1 species
ACCGCGAAUGGCUCAUUAAAUCACACAUGAUUUAUUCGAUCGUAAAAUCCUACUUGGAUAACUGUGGAUAAUUCUAGAGCUAAUACAUGCAACAAAGCUCUGACCUGUUAAAGGGACGAGCGCACUUAUUAGACCAAAACCAAUCCACAGUCACAUGCUAAAUCCUUGCGGUUUAUGCAUUUGUUCGGCUGUGGUCAAUGGUGGUGACUCUGGAUAAUUCUGCAGAUCGUAUGGCCUUGUGCUGACGACAGAUCGUUCAAGUGUGUGCCCUAUCAAAUAGACUUUGAGAUAGACGCUCAAAGUGUUUGCUACGGGUAGCGGGGAAUCAGGGUUCGAUUCCGGAGAGGGCGCAUUAGAAAUGGCGACCACAUCCAAGGAAGGCAGCAGGCGCGCAAAUUACCCACUCCUUGAACGGGGAGGUAGUGACGAAAAAUAACAACGCAGGACUCCAUUGAGGCCCUGCGAUUGGAAUGAGUACACUUUAAAUCCUUUAACGAGGAUCAAUUGGAGGGCAAGCCUGGUGCCAGCAGCCGCGGUAAUUCCAGCUCCAAUAGCGUAUAUUAAAGUUGUUGCAGUUAAAAAGCUCGUAGUUGGAUCUCGGUUUCGGGCUAGCGGUCCAUCCUUAUGUGUUGGCUACUGUUAGUACAAAUUCAUCUGUGAAAGGAUGAAUCCCGAACCAAUCUAUUGGCUUGUCUGCCAUGCUCUUUGCCGGGUGUGGUUUCAGAUGGCUAAUAAGUUUACCUUGAAUAAAUAAGAGUGUUCAAAGCAGGCUAUCAAUUGCCUGAAUUUUUGUGCAUGGGAUAAUAAAAUAGGAUCUCGAUUCUAUUUUGUUGGUUUUAAGAACUUGAGAUAAUGAUUAAGAGAGACAGACGAGGGCAUUCGUAUUAAAUGGCGAGAGGUGAAAUUCUUGGAUCCAUNNNNNNNNNNNNNNNNNNNNNNNNNNNNNNNNNNNNNNNUUCAUUAAUCAAGAACGAAAGUCAGAGGUUCGAAGACGAUCAGAUACCGUCGUAGUUCUGACCAUAAACGAUGCCAACUAGUGAUCGAUAGGCGUUGUUAUAAUGACCCUAUCGGCAACCUCCGGGAAACCAAAGUUUUUGGGUUCUGGGGGGAGUAUGGUUGCAAAUCUGAAACUUAAACAGAAUUGACGGAAGGGCACCACCAGAAGUGGAGCCUGCGGCUUAAUUUGACUCAACACGGGAAAACUCACCUGGCCCGGACACUGUAAGGAUUGACAGAUUGAGAGCUCUUUCUUGAUUCAGUGGGUGGUGGUGCAUGGCCGUUCUUAGUUGGUGGAGUGAUUUGUCUGGUUAAUUCCGAUAACGAACGAGACUCUAGCCUACUAACUAGUUUGGUGUAUUCAUUGUGUUCAUGGGGCUUGCCUUCGUGGCACUGAAUACAUCAUUUGUUAACUUCUUAGAGGGACAAGUGUCAUUUAGACACACGAGAUUGAGCAAUAACAGGUCUGUGAUGCCCUUAGAUGUUCAGGGCCGCACGCGCGCUACACUGAAAGCAUCAACGUGCGUACUCUACCUGAUCGGGAACGAUUGGGCAACCCGUUGAACCGCUUUCGUGCUAGGGACUGGAGCUUGCAAUUGUCUCCAUGAACGAGGAAUUUCCAGUAAGCGCUAUUCAUUAGAUAGCGUUGAUUACGUCCCUGCCCUUUGUACACACCGCCCGUCGCUACUACCGAUUGAACAAUUUGGUGAGUCUUUUGGACUGAACCUAACCUAGCAGUUUUACCGCUGCCGGGAUGGUGUUUUGGGAAGACAGGCAAACCUGG